AUCACUAAGCGGAGGAAAAGAAACUAACAAGGAUUCCCUCAGUAACGGCGAGUGAAGCGGGACCAGCCCAUCACCGAAUCCCCUAGCAUGUCGCUGGCGGGAGCUGUGGUGUUUGAGACGUCAACUGUCGUCCGCCACCGGUCGCCGAAGUCCUCCUGAUCGGGGCCUCUCCCAGAGCGGGUGUCAGGCCUUUACUGGCGACUGGUCGGUCGGCUGCGAGCGUCCUAAGAGUCGGGUUGUUUGGGAAUGCAGCCCAAAGCAGGUGGUAAACUCCAUCUAAGGCUAAAUACUGGCACGAGUCCGAUAGCGGACAAGUACCGUGAGGGAAAGUUGAAAA
rnacentral:rRNA from 1 species